CUGCAUUUUGAACCCUCCUGGCAGCGUCAUUAUCAGCUUCCAGGGUGAGAGUGAAUACCAGAGAAAACUGUUGAUUAAUCCAAAACAUUGGGCUUCCCCCCCCCCCUUGGCUCUGCAUUACUUUACAUCUUCAACAUUC
rnacentral:snoRNA from 1 species